CCUACGAGUGUCAGCAGUGAGGAAUAUUGGUCAAUGGGCGCGAGCCUGAACCAGCCAAGUAGCGUUAAGGAUGACUGCCCUACGGGUUGUAAACUUCUUUUAUAAAGGAAUAAAGUGAGGCACGUGUGCCUUUUUGUAUGUACUUUAUGAAUAAGGAUCGGCUAACUCCGUUCCAGCAGCCGCGGUAAUACGGAGGAUCCGAGCGUUAUCCGGAUUUAUUGGGUUUAAAGGGAGCGUAGAUGGGUUGUUAAGUCAGUUGUGAAAGUUUGCGGCUCAACCGUAAAAUUGCAAUUGAUACUGGCAGUCUUGAGUACAGUUGAGGUAGGCGGAAUUCGUGGUGUAGCGGUGAAAUGCUUAGAUAUCACGAAGAACUCCGAUUGCGAAGGCAGCUUACUAAACUGCCACUGACAUUGAUGCUCGAAAGUGUGGGUAUCAAACAGGAGUAGAUACCCGGGUAGUC
rnacentral:rRNA from 1 species